rnacentral:rRNA from 1 species
AGAGUUUGAUCCUGGCUCAGGAUAAACGCUGGCGGCGCACAUAAGACAUGCAAGUCGAACGGAAGUCGUUAUAAAAAGAGAGAAGAUUUAUCGGAUUGAAUUUUAUAACAAUGGCUUUAGUGGCGGACUGGUGAGUAACGCGUAAGGAACCUACCUAUUAGAGGGGAACAACAAUGAGAAAUCAUUGCUAAUACCGCAUAUGCCAUAACUGCCGCAUGGUAGAAGUGGGAAAGGAGUAAUCCGCUGAUAGAUGGCCUUGCGUCUGAUUAGUUAGUUGGUGGGGUAACGGCCUACCAAGACGACGAUCAGUAGCCGGACUGAGAGGUUGAACGGCCACAUUGGGACUGAGAUACGGCCCAGACUCCUACGGGAGGCAGCAGUCGGGAAUAUUGCGCAAUGGAGGAAACUCUGACGCAGUGACGCCGCGUGCAGGAAGAAGGUUUUCGGAUUGUAAACUGCUUUAGACAGGGAAGAACAAAGACAGUACCUGUAGAAUAAGCUCCGGCUAACUACGUGCCAGCAGCCGCGGUAAUACGUAGGGAGCGAGCGUUAUCCGGAUUUAUUGGGUGUAAAGGGUGCGUAGACGGGAAUACAAGUUAGUUGUGAAAUACCUCGGCUUAACUGAGGAACUGCAACUAAAACUAUAUUUCUUGAGUACAGGAGAGGUAAGUGGAAUUCCUAGUGUAGCGGUGAAAUGCGUAGAUAUUAGGAGGAACACCAGUGGCGAAGGCGACUUACUGGACUGAAACUGACGUUGAGGCACGAAAGUGUGGGGAGCAAACAGGAUUAGAUACCCUGGUAGUCCACACCGUAAACGAUGGAUACUAGGUGUAGGGGAUAUUAAAAUUCUCUGUGCCGCCGCUAACGCAAUAAGUAUCCCACCUGGGGAGUACGGCCGCAAGGUUGAAACUCAAAGGAAUUGACGGGGGCCCG